CGGGGUCGGCGUACAGGUGCUGCAUGGUUGUCGUCAGCUCGUGCCGUGAGGUGUCGGGUUAAGUCCCAUAACGAGCGCAACCCCUAUCAUUAGUUGCCAUCAGGUCAAGCUGGGGACUCUAAUGAAACUGCCUACGCAAGUAGUGAGGAAGGUGGGGAUGACGUCAAAUCAGCACGGCCCUUACGUCCAGGGCUACACACGUGCUACAAUGGCCGGUACAAAGGGCAGCUACCUGGUGACAGGAUGCUAAUCUCAAAAGCCGGUCUCAGUUCGGAUUGAAGUCUGCAACUCGACUUCAUGAAGCUGGAAUCGCUAGUAAUCGCAGAUCAGCCAAGCUGCGGUGAAUACGUUCCCGGGCCUU
rnacentral:rRNA from 1 species